UUUGUUUUUUGUUUUUUGUUGUUUUUUUUUUUGUUUGUUUUUUCAAGCCACCCUUGAACUAUGUCACACCUGUGUUUCUGCUCAGGCUCUUCUGUGAACAAACAGUCCUCAAUUCUUGCAGGCCAGCACUAGGCUUCCGUCACUGUGAUGCAAUCAAGGGUUCCCCUGACACAUGGCCUGAAACAGUGCCAGGGGCUCCCGGAGAAGAUGCUGAAGCAGCAGCUUCCUUUUGAAAAGGGGAAAAAAGUCAUCGCCUCAGAGCCACAGCAGUUAGCUAGAGGCUGAGGUGGUUUUCUUGGGAAACGUUCAGCCAAUUACUCUUCUCCACGACUUAAAACAAAGCUGACUAUUGAGAUGAAAGGAUCCAUUCUAACUGAUGUGUAAUUGUGUGGAUAUUGGUUCUUUUUUAUGGCCCAUAGUUGAAUGAUUAAAGGUCCAUGUAAGUUAGUGAUAAUUCCUAGACAGGCCUAUCGGUGUAAAUGAAGAGAACAGGUACAAAAAAAAAUCACUUUGGGUACCAUUUGUUUACAUUUAAUUAAAAUAUAAAUAUAAAUACUAACAGUUGAUUCAGAUUUUUGUUAAAAAGAAACUUCACUAAAUAUCUUCAGAAAGCAAAUACUUAAAUACAUGUAUCUUCCUAAUCAGGUCCAGCUUCUCCCAUCCUAAUUCCCACCAAAAUUCCCUCUUUGUUCCUAAGGAUGGAGUUAAUAGUGUCUAAAGUAGGUAGAACUGGAGGAAAAUGAUUCCUAUUUCACCAUGUAUUGCUUCAAGGGAGUUACUCCUUGAGUUUGCUACAGUAGAAGAUUUGUCCAGGAGAGAGGACCUCUGUAAAUGAUUGCCCAUAAAGGAGACACUGGUGGAAGGUUCUCAAUCCUUAACCAAUUACUUUUCCUAUCAUUACCAUCAACACCCAACCAUUAACCAGUUCUGGGCUGAAUAUUAACAAGGAAUCUACGAUCUAGAAUAGCCUUCAUAAGACCACACCAAUCAUGUCAAAUCACUGUGUAUAAAAAAUAUGUAUAAGAAAGAGAGCGGUUAAAAAAUCUAUAGAUAUUUAUUGAGUCUCUCUGAUGUGCUGGUGGCGGUGAAAUGCAAGAACAUGAAAGAUUCAGCGGCCUGGACCUGGGAAGGAACUUACAAUAUCCCGCUGAGAAAAUCAGACACGUGACCAGCUGCUGCCUAGAGAAACUGUGAGGUGGCGUGGAAAUCAUUCAGUAUUUUGUAAUAAAAGUCUGUGGAAUACCAGGAUUUCUAAAGUACAAGCUAUCUAAUAUGCAGAUACUUUGUAAAGCAUUUUUCCUAAUAUGUGUGAAUUUCUGGAGCACACCAAGGUUUACCAGUUGAACACACAAACA